UCGGCCCCAAACUUGUUGAUCCUGGACCACGUAAAGGCCCAGCCCGAAGAAUGCAUUUGUUUGAAUGCAGUUACCUACGCUUAUACAGAGAUACCCCGCCCCGGGUCCCGAACCGGCUGAACCUGGUCCACCUUUCUCCGCUGUCCGCCGCCGCCGCCGCCGCACGGCUACUCAAGAGAAGCGAACGACGAGAAAUCCAUUAACCUUAUGGCUUCGUCGGCGGCCCUCAGAGAGCUCCAGCGCGACCUUGAAACCCAAGCCAACGCACUCAGCAAAUUCCAGAAAAAGGCCAGCAAUUCUUCGUUCUCUCGCUUCUCCCUUCUCUCAAACCCUAACCCUAUACGUCUCUUUCCCUGAUCUUGGUCUUAUCUAUCUUUCCAAAUCCACCGCAGACAUCGCCAAGAACCACCAGGUGAGGAAGCAGUACACCAUCCAGCUCGGCGAGAACGAGCUUGUCCUCAAGGAAUUGGAGUUGUUGAAUGAGAAUGCUAAUGUGUAUAAGCUGAUAGGGCCGGUGCUUGUGAAGCAGGACCUGGCGGAGGCCAAUGCCAACGUCCGCAAGAGGAUAGAGUACAUCUCUGCCGAACUGAAGCGGCUUGAUGGGACCCUUCAAGAUUUGGAAGACAAGCAGAACAACAAGAAGGAUUCGUUUCUGAUUCAGCAGCCAAUUCUGUUUCUGGAUUUCUUUGACGGAAUGGUCUUCUGAUAGUAUUUACAUGUGGAUUCAUUGGGUUGUUGAGAUCAAAACAUGAGGAGUUGGAGUGCUAUUUUCUUGGAAACCUUGUUUCAAGAGUUGAAGCAAGGAAACGAUUGCCUAGGAGUUGCUGAAAAAUAUCAGCAAUUUUUCCAAAAGGAAUUCUUGAAUGCUUCAAAAGAUUUUAAAAUUACAACAGAAGAUUCAAACUCUUCAGGCUGGAAAAGCGAAGUCCUAGCUUACUGUUGUAUGUUCAGAUCAGCUAGUGCAGUAGGAAAGCUUUCAGGGCAGAUGUCUGUGGAUGAGCAUUUAUCACUUUCGAUUUCUCCCUUGCUGUUGAUAUGUGACCCAGUACUGAGAACAAUCCAUUCGCCUUCUACUUUUCCAGUUGGAGAGGUGGUGAGAUGCCAGAAGAGACCAUAUAUGACAAUGUGCUGCAUUUUGGUUUUGUACUACAGUUAUGGUGGCUAUGGGGCAUAUUGAUGUGUUGUCGGCAUUAUAUUGUGGCAUUUGUUAAAAUAAUUGGCGUUAUAUAAUGGUCAUGAGGACAGUAAUGCUAUUGCUUUAAGAUGUACAGAAAUUUCAGUGCAGAGGCUGGAUUUGUCAUCAUCGUUAUUACCAUGUAAAA